rnacentral:misc_RNA from 1 species
UCUCUUCUUGCUCAGUGAUUAGUGGGUUGUUGUUGAACUUUCCGUCCAUUAAUUUGGCCUAUGGGGCCUCCAAGAACCAGAGCUAAAAUUUUGCUUAUGGUGGGAUGAGUCUUGAGUCCUGAUGACCANCCUUUACCGGCCUAGAUUAUGAUCAAAGGCAAGAAGGAGAGAGGAGAGAGGGGCUACAGAGAAAGAGAGAGGGUUGGUGAUGUGAGAAGGAGGAGAAGAAAUUGGGGGGAGAAGGUGGAGGAUGAGAGGGGUGGUCCUUUAAAAAUU